AUUGAACGCUGGCGGCAGGCUUAACACAUGCAAGUCGAGCGGGGGAGGUUGCUUCGGUAACUGACCUAGCGGCGGACGGGUGAGUAAUGCUUAGGAAUCUGCCUAUUAGUGGGGGACAACAUUCCGAAAGGGAUGCUAAUACCGCAUACGCCCUACGGGGGAAAGCAGGGGAUCUUCGGACCUUGCGCUAAUAGAUGAGCCUAAGUCGGAUUAGCUAGUUGGUGGGGUAAAGGCCUACCAAGGCGACGAUCUGUAGCGGGUCUGAGAGGAUGAUCCGCCACACUGGGACUGAGACACGGCCCAGACUCCUACGGGAGGCAGCAGUGGGGAAUAUUGGACAAUGGGCGGAAGCCUGAUCCAGCCAUGCCGCGUGUGUGAAGAAGGCCUUUUGGUUGUAAAGCACUUUAAGCGAGGAGGAGGCUCUUAAGGUUAAUACCCUUGAUGAGUGGACGUUACUCGCAGAAUAAGCACCGGCUAACUCUGUGCCAGCCGCCGCAGUAA
rnacentral:rRNA from 1 species